CCUACGGGUGGCAGCAGUGGGGAAUAUUGGACAAUGGGCGAAAGCCUGAUCCAGCCAUGCCGCGUGUGUGAAGAAGGCCUUCGGGUUGUAAAGCACUUUCAGUGGGGAAGAAAGCCUUGGGGCUAAUACCCUCGAGGAAGGACAUCACCCACAGAAGAAGCACCGGCUAACUCCGUGCCAGCAGCCGCGGUAAUACGGAGGGUGCGAGCGUUAAUCGGAAUUACUGGGCGUAAAGCGCGCGUAGGCGGUCUGAUAAGCCGGUUGUGAAAGCCCCGGGCUCAACCUGGGAACGGCAUCCGGAACUGUCAGGCUAGAGUGCAGGAGAGGAAGGUAGAAUUCCCGGUGUAGUGGUGAAAUGCGUAGAGAUCGGGAGGAAUACCAGUGGCGAAGGCGGCCUUCUGGACUGACACUGACGCUGAGGUGCGAAAGCGUGGGUAGCAAACAGGAUUAGAUACCCUUGUAGUC
rnacentral:rRNA from 1 species